rnacentral:rRNA from 1 species
GGAAGUUUAUAAAAGAUGUUUUUUGCUCAGUGUUUAUAAACAGCUGCGGUAAUUUGACCGUACAAAGGUAGCAUAAUCAUUUGCCUCAUAAUUGGGGGCUAGAAUGAAAGGAAUUACAAAAUUUUUUCUUUAUUUUUAAGAAAAAAAUAAUUUGCUUUUUUAGUGAAGAAGCUAAAAUAAGAAAGGGGGACAAGAAGACCCUUUUGAGCUUUAUUAAAUAUUUUUUUUUUAAAAAUUUUUAAUUUGGUUGGGGCGACUAAGGAAGAAAAUUUAUCUUCCUUUUUUUUAUUGAUCCAAAGUUUUUGAUUGUUAGAAUAAGCUACCAAAGGGAUAACAGCGUAAUUUUUUUUGUGAGUUCUUAUCAAAAAAAAAGAUUGCGACCUCGAUGUUGACUUAUAGUUUCCUUUUGGUGUAGCUGCUUUAAGGGUGGGUCUGUUCGACCUUUAAAACUUUACGUGAGUUGAGUUCAAACCGGCGUGA